CUAAAUUAUCAUACAAUCAGAUUAAGUUGGUGGAACUAAAACAGGGCGCAUUACCUCAAACAGCCAGCAUUUACAAGAACCAAAUUGAUUUUUUUUUCUUACAAAAGUCAGGCAACUUCCAAAUUAAGUCACUUUUUACCAUAUACCCUGGAGAAUAACAUGGCCCGACACACCACACGUCCCACUUAUCUAGUUCAAGCGAGUAACAUAACGUGAGAAACUGCACUGUGUAAUUCCUUUAUUUUCUGCAUAUUAGUGCUUUACCAACACUACAACCAUAAAGAACACAAUUCCAAGUACUGUACUUUUUAGUUUGGGGAGAUCACAGUCUACAGACUCAUUUACUUAUAUUAAACAAGAUUAACCUCAUUCAAAACUUACUGCAGUUUAUAAAUUCACAUAAAUACAGAAAUGGAUGCAAUUAAACAACUUCAGGAUCUUAUUUUUAAAAUUCUUAGAUAAUUUUUUCUGCAGGCUAUAAUUACCUGCUCCAGUCACCAAUGGUUAUUGUUCAAUUUAACUACAUCAAUUAUAAACCUCUUAUAUCCUUAAAGAAAAUUUUAAGUGAAAAUUACAAUUUCUUACCAAAAGGUUUAGGGUUUUCCAAAUUUCAAAUAUUUGCUUCCCCCUCCCCCCUUUCCAGUCAAACAUUUCAAAUAAACUAAAAAUAACCACAUCUCACCUGCAACAUUCAAUAAUAGCAAUCACUUGAUGUAUAAAAUUUUAACUAUGCCCCCAGUUAUUUUAAGACACAAAAAAAUGGCUGCCUACCAAUCUGUCUUCACAAGUUAGAAAUACUACAUUUAAGAUUUAACAUGAGGGUUUCAAGUUUCCUCCAGUUUAGGCAUUUAUACCUUUGUGCUUGUUUUGUUUCAGGAUGUUACUAUAGCAUUGAUAUUGGAUAACCCAUAUUUAUAUACUUUAAAAUGCAAUCAUUUGAAACACUAAAAAUUACAUUUAUGGUGGAGCUUUGGAAAUUUUAGAAAGCAACCAGUGUUCUUAGAUGUGUUUAUCAGCCUCAUUUCUAGAGCUCUUUCUACUAAAGUGAAACUGAGAACUUCGUACUUUAGUUGUAUCCUGAAAUCAAAAAAAUCCCUCUGCACCAACAGGAGCCUACAUGAGAAUACCCUUUUGCAUCUGCUUUAAGUAAAAUGUUUGUUAAGAGUUUUACUUUGAAUAGUUCAUUUUUUUAUAGUCUUACACUUCUCAUACAUCUUUGGUAAAAGCUCCAUUAUACAAUAUGGCCAAAGUGUGAAGGACCAAUACUGUCCAACUAUACCAUGAUAUCCCGCUCAAUUUUAGUUUUCAGACACCCUCAUAAACAAAACCCACUCCACCUUUUCCUGUAUACUGCCUUUGCAGUCUACAUUUCUGAAAUUCCCUAUUUAAUUCCUUGAGGAUCACUAAAAUUAAUCCUUAAGGCUAUAUAGGAACCAGAUGCUGCUUUACAAUUCUGCAUCAAGCAUUAACAUUUGGUUCAAAAUAUUAUCAUAGUGGUCGCAAUCCAGUUACUGGUCCUAACCAGCUAACCAAGUAAUCUUGUUAGGAUCUGGAUAUCACCAGCGAGCACACUGCUUACACAUGAAGAAAAAUAAGUUUACAGCAAGUGAUAAGGAAACUGGGCAAAAAAGGAAAAAAGCAUACAUAGGAAAAUGAAAGAUUCUCUCGAAAUAAAA
rnacentral:lncRNA from 1 species